UCUAUGGCAGCAUGAACUCAGACUUCACCACGUUUGUGGCCGGGCGCCGUUCUGAGCAUCACGUUCUACCUGGCAGUGGGCUUGACGGCUCUGUCCUUUGUGAUAGAGAGGAAGGAGGGACUAAUGGACAGGUGCUGGGUUGCAGGUAAGAGGUUCAUUAAGUCGAUAACAGACUGUGUUCCAAAUGGCACCCUAUACCCUAUUUAGUGCACUACUGUUGACAAGGGCCCAAGUGUCCCCAAUGCCACCCUGUUAUCUAUAUAGCGCACCGGACAAAACUAGUGCACUAUAUAGCCCCGGGCUAUUCAACUCUUACCCUGCUGGUUUUCUGUUCUACCUGAUCAUUAAUAUCACCCACCUGGUGUCCCAGGUCUAAACCAGUCCCUGAUUAGAGGGGAAUCACCCAC